rnacentral:snRNA from 1 species
CAUCAUAUCUGGCAGGGGAGAUACCAUGAUCACAAAGGUGGUUCACCCAGGGCAAGCCUUAUCCAUUGCACUCCAAAUGUGCUGACCCUCUGAUUUUCCCAAAUGUGGGAAACUCAACUGCAUAAUUUGUAGUAGUGGGGGACUGUCUUCCCACUCUCCCCUG